rnacentral:rRNA from 1 species
AUUGAACGCUGGCGGCAGGCCUAACACAUGCAAGUCGAACGGUAACAGAAAGCAGCUUGCUGCUUUGCUGACGAGUGGCGGACGGGUGAGUAAUGUCUGGGAAACUGCCUGAUGGAGGGGGAUAACUACUGGAAACGGUAGCUAAUACCGCAUAACGUCGCAAGACCAAAGAGGGGGACCUUCGGGCCUCUUGCCAUCGGAUGUGCCCAGAUGGGAUUAGCUAGUAGGUGGGGUAACGGCUCACCUAGGCGACGAUCCCUAGCUGGUCUGAGAGGAUGACCAGCCACACUGGAACUGAGACACGGUCCAGACUCCUACGGGAGGCAGCAGUGGGGAAUAUUGCACAAUGGGCGCAAGCCUGAUGCGGCCAUGCCGCGUGUAUGAAGAAGGCCUUCGGGUUGUAAAGUACUUUCAGCGGGGAGGAAGGGAGUAAAGUUAAUACCUUUGCUCAUUGACGUUACCCGCAGAAGAAGCACCGGCUAACUCCGUG